rnacentral:misc_RNA from 1 species
UGGGCAUAUUAUAUUUGCUGUUAUAAUAAAGUCAAUUUGAUGACUUCCGAGACAACAAUGGCUCCAAUUGAGAGUCGGUAUUCUUUGAAAUUAACAGUCUCUUAUCACCUGACUCCAACUCCGCAGCUGAUAAAUCAUCCUCUCUUUGUUCUAAUAACCUUUGGAAGAAACUUGGUUUAUCGUCAAGUAAUGGAUCUGGCUGCUUCAGUGC